rnacentral:rRNA from 1 species
UGGGGAAUCUUCCGCAAUGGGCGAAAGCCUGACGGAGCAACGCCGCGUGAGUGAAGACGGCCUUCGGGUUGUAAAACUCUGUGAUUCGGGACGAAAGAUAAGUAGACGAAUAAUCUGCAUAAGUGACGGUACCGAAAAAGCAAGCCACGGCUAACUACGUGCCAGCAGCCGCGGUAAUACGUAGGUGGCAAGCGUUGUCCGGAAUUAUUGGGCGUAAAGCGCGCGCAGGCGGCUACUUAAGUCCAUCUUAAAAGUGCGGGGAUUAACCCCGUGAUGGGAUGGAAACUGAGAAGCUGGAGUGUCGGAGAGGAAAGUGGAAUUCCUAGUGUAGCGGUGAAAUGCGUAGAGAUUAGGAAGAACACCGGUGGCGAAGGCGACUUUCUGGACGACAACUGACGCUUAGGCGCGAAAGCGUGGGGAGCAAACAGG